rnacentral:rRNA from 1 species
AACGAACGCUGGCGGCAUGCCUAACACAUGCGAGUCGAACGAGACCUUCGGGUCUAGUGGCGCACGGGUGCGUAACGCGUGGGAACCUGCCCUUAGGUUCGGAAUAACUCCCCGAAAGGGGUGCUAAUACCGGAUAAUGUCUUCGGACCAAAGAUUUAUCGCCUUUGGAUGGGCCCGCGUUGGAUUAGCUAGUUGGUAGGGUAAAAGCCUACCACGGCGACGAUCCAUAGCUGGUCUGAGAGGAUGAUUAGCCACACUGGGGCUGAGACACGGCCCAGACUCCUACGGGAGGCAGCAGUGGAGAAUAUUGGACAAUGGGCGAAAGCCUGAUCCAGCAAUGCCGCGUGAGUGAUGAAGGCCUUAGGGUUGUAAAGCUCUUUUACCCGGGAUGAUAAUGACAGUACCGGGAGAAUAAGCUCCGGCUAACUCCGUG